CCGCGAGGGUGAGCUGCAGUGCUUUUGCAUAGCGAUGGGUGGUUAGUAACAUGGCUAGGAAAGAAAAGAGACGCAUACCAAAUUACACCUGGGAUCUACCAGUCCAGCAUACCAGGUUCACACACAGCAAACCAGCUCUCUCCCUUACAAAGCAUUGAUGCCUAGAGUCACAGCUACUGCCUGCUUGCCUGUCCUGAGGCAUCUAAGCCAGGAUCAUCAUCAUCGCUGACUCCUGCAUUAAGCAUCCUGAGCUGGACAGCAGGCACUGAGACACUGAUCCUGCUCCAUGUCAUGGUCACACACACAAACACAGAUUGGCAUACACACACAUAUACACAAAUGCAUGUAUGAGCACACAGCGACACACACACACCACCACGCACCCCCCCCCCCCCCUUCUCUGGGGGUAGCUGCUGCCUGUCUGUGCUGCUAACUGCUGCUGUUUCUGGCUCGGCUGCAGUUGUCACACCAUUGGAUGGGAGUGGGGCAGCUGCAUGGCCCCAACACCACUACUUCUGUACCACUUUCAACUUGCUCUCAAAUCUAAAUGUAAAACUGUAUCAUAAACUUACAAUAUUUUAUCUCAAACAGCCAUCUUGUUUGUUUAUGACCUAAUGUUUUGCGUAUCAAUCCAAGAAGUCUUACAGGGGGGUCAUGUGGAAAUGUGACUUGUGUAACAUGAGGUGGAUUACUGCUCGAGCAUAGUGUGCUAAGUGCUUGGAGGGUCCCAGUACGUACAUGAUCAAGCUAUUUGAUAAGGAGUCAAAUAUUAUUAUUUGGAUGACAG